GCAGUAGCGGUAAUACAGAGACCUCAAGCGUUAUCCGGAUUUAUUGGGCGUAAAGAGUGGGUAGGUGGUCGUGUUAGUCAGAUGUCAAAUCCUUCGACUCAAUCGAAGAACUGCAUUUGAAACGGCACGACUUGAGGCGGUGAGAGACCAGUGGAAUUCACGGUGUAGUAGUGAAAUGCGUUGAUAUCGUGAAGAACACCAAAGGCGAAGGCAGCUGGUUGGCACCGAUCUGACACUGAGCCACGAAAGCGUGGGGAGCGAAUGGGAUUAGAUACCCCAGUAGUCCACGCCCUAAACGAUGCACACUAGGUAUGGGAGGAAUCGACCCCUUCCGUGCCGCAGCUAACGCGUUAAGUGUGCCGCCUGGGAAGUACGAGCGCAAGCUUAAAACUCAAAGGAAUAGACGGGGAUCCGCACAAGUGGUGGAGCAUGUGGUUUAAUUCGACGAUAACCGAGGAACCUCACCAGGGUUUGAAAUCUGGCUGGAGAUCUUAGAAAUAAGAAGUCCUUCGAGGCCGCCAGACCAGGUGCUGCAUGGUCGUCGUCAGCUCGUGUCGUAAGAUGUUCCGUUAAGUCGGGAAACGAGCGCAACCCCUGUCGCGUGUUACACGUAUCACGCGAGACCGCCCCGCACCUUUUUUCUGAAUAUUUCGGAGGAAGGGUGCGGGGAGGAAGGAGGGGAUGACGUCAGAUCAGCAUGGCCCUCUGACACCCUGGGCGACACACGUGCUACAAUGGCCGGUAUAAAGGGUUGCCAAGUCGCGAGACGGAGCUAAUCCCAAAAAACCGGCCCCAGUUCGGAUUGGAGUCUGCAACUCGACUCCAUGAAGCCGGAAUCACUAGUAAUCGUGAAUCAGCCAAGUCACGGUGAAUACGUUCUCGGAUCUUGUACU
rnacentral:rRNA from 1 species